AAUUGCACUCCAAUAACACAUUUUCCUUAUAUAUCUUUCUCCCUCUUAUAAGCAAUACUAUUGUUGUCAUGGCUCGCAGUUAUGCUUUCUAUUUUACUGUUGCGCUUAUGGUGGUGUCUGGUAAAUGACCUUUUAAUUUUCUACACCUCACUCUCUAUUUAUUUGAUAUUGUCUCUAUGUAGGUUUACAUAUAUACGUCAAUAUAAUGUGUAGUCUUCUACACGUUCCAACAUUAACAAUGGUAUAAUUACAUAUUGAUUUUAAGACUUGAGUUUUUAUUGCUGGAUUAUAGUUUAUUUGGCUCAGUCUCCAGUACUUGCUGUGAGAGACUUGCCGACGAAUGUACCAGCAGAACUCAAAUCAAAACUAACUGGUGGUAAGAGUUUGAUGAGUGGUUGCGGUGGAUACUGCCGCUCGAGCAGUGACUGCUAUGAUAGGUAUUGUAAGUAUUGUUACUACGAUGUUAUUAACCACACCUAUGGUUGCGGCUAAGGGAGGAUCAUCCAUGGCCAACACAAUAUGAAGUCUGUUGCUUCUCACUAGUAGAUGUUUUUGUGUUUUGUUGGCUUUGUUAUUGGGUGUUCCUUUUCCCAUUUCCGUUUUUUUCUUCUCAUGGAAGAAAAUAAAAUGACUAACACUACUAAAAAACGGCUAAUUUCCGACCGAAAUUUGCGACGGAAAAUAGUAUUCAAAAAUUUCUGAUGGAAUCGGUCGGAAUAUUCAUAAAAAUAUAUUUUUCAAUUUUUAAUAACACUUACGACUAAUUUUCCAUCUAUGUCCGUCGUAAAUUUUGGCGGAAAAUUCCGCGUCAUUUUUAGUGACCAAUUCGGUCUAAAACAAUUAAAAAAAGAAAUAAAAAAAUAAAAAAAUAGCGACCGAUUCGAUCGGAAAUGUUUAGUAAAACGAGGUUGACUACUUUUGACCAAAUUACCGACUGAAUCGGUCGGAGAGUUUUUUUAAAAACCCUCAGUGACUUCCUUUCUUUUUCUUCCUUUUCCUCUUUUUUUUCUUCUCUCUUCUCUCUCUCACUUAAACUUCUCCCCACCUAAAACCCCGCUUCCAUCAACGAGAAGCACUCGCCGGUGCCGCUACAAGUCCGUCGAGAUCCUCCACUGCCAGCAUGUCUAGGUUGGAUAUUGGAGGCUUUCACCCGGCUACAUCUAGUGCUGCUUCUGCACCAUCUCGUGGACGCAGGCAAAAUCUUGGAGGGGAUGUAUAUUUGAUAGUUAUAAUCGAUUGAUAAUCGUCCCUCACAAGGAUAGGUUUUUACUAUCCUUUCAAGCUACACAUUUGGUUACAGAAUGAAGCCAUUUUAUCAUGAGUCGUGGACUUCUUGGAGAAAGAUAUCGUACAACAUCAGAGAGCAAAUGUGGAAUUAAUUUAGGACAAGGUGUACAUGACAUCCUCAACAUCAAAAUGCAAUAAAUAGUAUUUUCAAGAAAAAAACUGCUAUAAGGAUUAAAGAUACUAUGUGCGCUGCUCGGAAUUCCGGUAAUAUGCCAGAAUGGUUAAGAGAAGAUGUUUGGUACACUUCUUGUGAAAUGAAAUACCCCUGAAUGGAAGGCAAUGAAUGAACAAGCAAAGGCAAACCGUGCCUCUAAAAAAGGUGGCUUGUUGCACACAUGAGGAAAAGGAAAGAGGGCGAGAUGUGAGUUAUGCAGAGGUCUUCGAGGAGUUGCAUAAGAAAAAGAAAAAGGAUGGUACAAGAGAAUACUGGGUGGAAACGCGUGCAUCAGACACAUAUAAAAUUAUCAUAAAAGGUUGGAAAAAUUACAACAAACUCAGCCUCCUUCAACUCAACCAACACCUGAUGAUAUGGCUUCAUUGUGGACAUAGGCAGCGGGUGGAGCAAACAAAGGCAGAGUCUACAGACUAGGAGUACAUCGACCCACAGGUCAUCCAAACCCACUCUUAGCCAAUUCUUCUCCUCAAAAUCAAGAACAGAUGGAAGAUAUGAUAAAUGGAAUUCGUGAAUUGAAGCAACAGUUGGACUCCUAAUACGGAACAUUUGUUAAGAUGCAGAAAUUCAUGCGUAAACAUGGGCAUGAUUUAUCUGAUGAUGAGGAUGAACAAACUGAAUCUGAUGUGUAGUAGUUUAGUUGUGAUAUUUUGGUUGAUUGGUAAACUUGAUUGUGAGAGACAACUUUAUGUAUUGCUUUUAAACUUGAAUAUGGGCUGCUAUUGAGAUGUUUUUAUGCCCAAAAUUGUUAGGUUUAAAUGUUGGUAUUGUUGGUUUAAGUUGUGUUAAUGGUUAGCAUUGUUGGUUUAGAAUUUGUUAAUGUAUUGUUAAUUUAGAUAGCGUUAAUGUAUUGUUGGUUCGUAUUAUUGUAUUAAUGUAUCGUUGGUUUA